rnacentral:rRNA from 1 species
UACGUAGGGUGCAAGCGUUUGUCCGGAAUUAUUGGGCGUAAAGAGCUCGUAGGCGGCUUGUUGCGUCAGCUGUGAAAACCCGCAGCUCAACUGUGGGCUUGCAGCUGAUACGGGCAGGCUGAGUUCGGUAGGGGAGAUCGGAAUUCCUGGUGUAGCGGUGAAAUGCGCAGAUAUCAGGAGGAACACCGGUGGCGAAGGCGGAUCUCUGGGCCGAUACUGACGCUGAGGAGCGAAAGCGUGGGGAGCGAACAGG